UCCUUACCAAUGCUGCUUGACUUACCAAAAUAAGGAAAUGUCUUCUAACAAAUGUCUCUUGAAUUACCCAAACAAGGAACUGCGUCUCUUUACCAAUGCCACUUGAAUUACCAAAGUAAGGAAGUGCGUCUCCUUACCAAUGUCGCUUGUAUUACCGAAACAAGGAAGUGUCUCCUAACAAAUUCUCUUAAAUUACCUAAACAAAGAAGUGCGUCUCCUUACCAAUGUCGCUUGAAUUACCCAAGGAAGUGCGUCUCCUUACAAAUGUUGCUUAAAUUUCCCAAACAAGGAAGUGCGUCUCCUUACCAAUGUUGCUUGAAUUAAAAAAAAUAAGGAAGUGCGUCUCCUUACAAAUGUUGCUUGAAUUGUCCAAACAAGGAAGUGAGACUUCUAGGAGUGAAGGUUUAAUUUAGGAAGUGCAUCACCUAAUAAAUGGACCUGAAUCAUACGGGCAAGGAAGUGUGUCUCCUAGAUAUAUUGGAUGAUGAGUUUUUACCAUGGUUUUGAUUACCAAACUUGUGCAACAACCUUGUCUCCUGCAUUUAUGGAAAUGAGGCAUUACAACCUUUGAUAUUUAGACUCUGAAGUCCUUGAUUUGAAGGUAACAUGUUUCCUGUUUCAUCAAAGAAAACUUGUUAGUUUAAAAACAUGGUGGCUGGUUUGUGGCUUUAGCUUUUGCGGCAAUUGCUCUUGCCCUCGUCACAUUUAACCUUGCUUCCGACCAUUAGCAUAUGUCACUGACUUGCUGCAUCAUUGAUCCAAACUCAGAUUAUUAAGAGUGACUCUGAAACAAACACAAUAUCUCUGCUUUGCCGUGCUUCUCAGAUAAACCCUUUGAACCUUGAUAUUUCCAUGAGUUGCCAGACUUGUCAGUUGACAAAAAUUUCUACAUGUCUUAUUUUGGCUCACAAUUAUGUCUCUUUCAUGUGUUGACCUUUUGUAUUGCUUUGCGCAAUUAAAGAAGCUGGUAGCUAGUUUUGAAAUUUUUUCUCACUUGUUUUGAUAUGGACUUGACUCAAAGACAAGAGAAAAAUGAUGAUGAAUUUUAUUUGGACAACUGACUCAAGAAAAUAAAAUAAAAAUGAAAGAAGAAAGAAAAGACAAUGAAUGUCUUCAUUUGAAACAAAGAAAUGAAAAAUUUAUCUAGAAAUGACAGUGAACUCUAAUGAUUAUGCCAUACAUUUUGGAUUAAGCUGCUUGAUCUUUCCAUCUAAACUUUCUACGAAUUGUUGUUGAGUUAAUGGCUAUGAAACUGAGUUGUUUCUUUAGGUCAAUUGCAUUUAAGACCUCAUUCGGCUAGUGACACCUUGAAGGGUUUUUACCAACAAGCCUUUCUCAUUCUCUUUUUCUCAGUUCACCAUUAUCUUAUGGUGUCUGUGAGGGUUUUCACUGGUAAGACUCUCUCAUUUUUUUAUAUCUCGACUUACCAUCGCCUUAUGGUGCCCGUAAGGGUUUUCACCAAUAAGACUCUCUCAUAUUUAUUUCUCUCCUGAUUCCUUACGCUGAGGAAGAUAAGUAGUUCCCAAAAUGCAUCAUCAUAUCCCUUGCAUGCUUAGCCUUAACAUUCUCAAAGAUUGAUCUGAAUGUCUUUCUUUGGUUGUACCUUGGCUUUUGGAUAGGGUUAAAAAGAAAGGAUGACAUGAGGCUCAAACGAUACUUGGAGUGGGUUAGGACUUACAAUGAGGAUUAACUCAUGCCCCAGUUUCUUUGACUGGGCAAUUCUAAAUUAUUUAUUUGGUUGGACCGAGCCCGAAGCAGGAAAACCUACGUAUCUCACCCCCGAGAGGGGAGAAUCAGGUCACGCGUAGUUCUGGCAGCUUAUUCUUUUUUGCUUGAUUCUGACUUGUUCUUUUUUUGGCUCUUUUUUCUUUGUGAUUUUUCUAAUUCUAAUUUCUUGACACUUUUUUCUUCCUUCUUGGACACAUUUUUCUCUUUUUUUUUUUUUUAACUUUCUGACUCUAUUCUCUUGCUUGAUACUUUUCUGUUGAGCUUUGCUAGCUUUAUAUUGAUUCCAAAAGAGGGGUAUGAAAGAAAAUAACACUAAGGCUCAAAUGGGGUAAACCAAGGAUGACACAAUGUUUGGAUAGCAGAAUAAAAUGUCUUUAUCAUAUCAAUCCUUGAAAAUACUAGUACCUAGCAUACAAUGUGAAAGUAAACGAUCAACAUCACUUAUGACAUGUUUUACAACACUAAAUUGCCCCGAGCAUGUGUGUCACCUCUUUUCUAUACUUGUCAAACAUAGAACUCUAUCUUUGUUGUACAUCCCUCACAUUGAAUGACUCAUGCUUUCGUGGAGUUGAUUUUCUUUAUGUUCCUCUUGAUAGGAUCAGCAGACACUGUUUGACCUAAUUAAGCUAUAUUUUUCUAUUGAUGACCAAGUUAUUCAUGUGAUUCUCAAAAUAAUUGCCUUAAUUUUUAGAAAAGGUUUCAACUUGUCACCAAAUGUCUCAUCACUCUACCUAUUUUCUCAGAUGCUUUUCUAAACUUAGCCCUCUGAUUCUAUGUUUCAUGGUUAAAUUGGACUUUAAGAUCUAGCUGAAAAUUUCGCAAGCAUAUCAUAUCACUAGAGUCAACAUAAAAUGUACUGUAUAAAGAAAAUAAAUAAAUAACACAUAUUUAAAAUACAAAGAAAAAGGGCAAUUCAUUUAGUUGAAAUAAAAGAUAGAAGGGUUUGAACAUAAACGACAAAAAGAGAAAACAAGAUAGAUCCCGAACUACAACCCUGAAAUAAUUCAAAAAACAGAAAAGAAAACAAAACAAACUACCAAACCUCUCUUAGUAGGGAGAGGGGUGACUUCUCAAUUGCUCAGCCUGAUAACUUAGCCACUGGUUUGCAUAUCAGCAUGACUAGAUCUUCCCACACUGUCAAUGAUCUGCACCAUAAUUGAUCCAUCUUGAAUCAUCUUUUCAAUUUCUCUUUUCAAAUCUCGACAAUCUUUAAUACCAUGACCCUGAGCAUCAGAAUGAUAUGCGCAUCGUACAUUAGGAUCAAAAUUUCUUGAACGCCGAUUAAGAGUGCACCCAAGGAGAGGAGUGAUCAUGCCCCAUUAUACCAAUCUCUGAAAUAAACUGACAUACGACUCUCCAAUUGAUGUGAAGCGAUCUCUCGGCUUCUGCCUUAUUUUAUCGUUUGGCUUGGAUCGAAAAUUAGGCUUAGAAGGAUUUUGGUAUGUUUGUGGAGUUAGAGGAUAAAUCUGAGGAGUUGGUGUGUUCCACUGUGGGUAAGAUAGGGGUUGAACAUGUGGUUGUGCGUUAUAUACUGGAUAUGGAGGUGGGGGAGUAGAGUAUAAUGGAUUUUGGGAGUAAUUAUGUGGAGCUUGGGCAUGAACUUGGGUUUGAGCCUGAGAAUGACGACAACGGGAUCUUCUUGACCGUGCCCGCUAUCCAACUACAAUAGAAGAUACAAUUUCCUUAUUCUUUAUCUCCCCAACACUUCCUAAACCCUUUUGAAUUACUUGAGUUAUCGCUUUCAAUGUUGCAAAACUCACAAUGCGACCAGUCUUAAUUUCCUCUUUUAUCAUCUUCCCCAUUUUAAGGACCUCAAUAAAUGACUUGCCUAAUGCAGGUAACAAGUGUUGAUAAUAUGUUUCAUCCUGCGCUUGAAUAAACACCUCCACUAUUUUGCUUUCUUUCAUUGGCAGUUUCACUCUAGCAACUUGUUCGUGCCAUCUGAUCGCAUACUCCCUGAAACUCUCACCUUCUUUUUUAUAGUAGUUAGGAUUUUUUCAUUAGGGAUCAACUCUACAUUGUAUUGAAAUUUAUGCAUAAAUCCAUUAGCUAGGUCAUCCCAACUAAUCCACUUAUCAAUGUCUUGGUCAACAAAUCAUUCCGAAGCUAGGCCUGAAAGACUCUCCCCGAAAUAAGCCAUGAGUAGUUCUUCCUUCCCUCCAACGCCCCUUAAUUGGUUACAAUAACGCCUCAAAUGUGCCACUGGGUAUCCAUGUCCAUCAUACUUCUUAAACUUUGGCAUUUUAAAGCCAAGAGAGAGGUUGACACCUGGAAACAUACAUAAGUCCUUAUAUGAGACACUUUUAUAAUCUCCAAGUCUUUGCAAGUUCUUCAUAGCCAGUUCCAAAAUUCUCAAUUUUGUGGUCAUUUCCUUUUGUUCUUCUGUCAUAACAGGUUUCUCAGUGUUAGGAGAAAAUUCAGACAGGUGAUUGUCACCGUAAAGACCAAUCAACUUAAAUGUAGGCUCGGAAGUGUAACGCUGAUCACCAGUAAUAUUCAAUGUAGGCUCUCUUGUAGAGUAGGGAGGCACAACUUGUGGAUGAAUAUCAAAAGUAGGAGAUUCAGGUGGGGGUGGCGCCGCAAAUGCAUGAAUAACAGGUGGAGCCGAGUAUGUGGUGGUCUUAGACUGGGGAGCGAGGAAAUGAACAUUGGAAGUGGUUGGAUAUUGUUGCCCCGGAGUCGAUCCUGAUGCAUGUUGUGGCAUAUCAACAAAAAUGAAAAAUUAUGUAUGUGACACGGGAGGCAAGCUAGAAAGAUAUUCUAGAUUAUCAGUGGAAACUGGAGGAGGCGGCAACCCAUUAGCUCAAGCUCGAUGUAUUUCUAUCAUUUGCUGUCUCAAUUUCCGAAUCUCUUCAUUAGCUCCUAAAUUCUCAUUUCCCGGACUCCCUAUCUGAUUAGUGACAACUAACUCGGCAUCCUUGUUGGCCAUAACUUUCUCUGUGACUUGAAGCAAUAUGGAGGACCAACCAAAAUUCCACAAACCAACCACCUUAAACUAACUGGACAAGAGAUGGCAAAAUGUGUUACGAGUUUUUUUCAAAACCUCUUUUUCCUUCUCUUUUUUUUAAAGAUCACCGAACCCAAGAAGGGCACCUACGUAUCGCACUCCCAAGAGAGGAGAAUCAGGUGUGCGUAGUUCAUAAAGUCUUGCCAAAAUGACCAAUUGAACUCUUUGUUUUCUUUCUUUUUUUUUUCUCAAAACUUUAAGAAGAAAAGAAAAUAACAAUUUGUCAAAAGAAUUGACGAAAAUGUUUUUUGAAUUUUUCAUCUUUAACAUCUCUAUACAAAGUGAAAUCUAUGAUUACCAAAUAAAUUUUUUUUUUUUUGGUUUUCAGUUUUAAAUUUCAUAUGAAAAAAUUUCAUAUGAAAAUGAAACCUGAACCUAUUAAAGGAAAAUCUUUUUGCAGUUUUCUUUAAAAGAUGUACAUGAAACACUUACUCUAAAUAAAGAGUGAAGAAAAUCUUUUUGAAUUUUUUCAAAUAAGAUCCCCGAACCAACAAUAGGCUGCCUACGUAUCUCACUCCUGAAAGAGGAGAAUCAAGGGUGUGUAGUUCGUCCGGAUAGGACAAUUAAGGAUUAAAUAACCGACUGAACCCUGAGUUGAGAGACGUGACCACAAACAGAAGAUUAAAAACAAUAAAAUCUUUUUUUGAAUUUUAAAUUUGACACUUCACAUAAAAAAUGACACCAACAGCUAUGAAAGAAAAUCUUUUUGGUAUUUUCAUUAUAUGAAAUGUACAAAACUUCUACCACCCUUUUUUUGAAUCUUUCUUUUAUAAAAAGCUCCCAAAAAAAUCUUUUUGGAGUUUUCGAAUUGUGAAUGUUUGCUAAAGGAAACAAAAGGAAAAUCUUUUUGAUGUUCUUUGUUAAUUAUUUAUAUUUGAAAAAUGAAUGCAAAAAGUAAAAAAAAUCUUCUUUUUUGAAUUUUUGAAUCGUGGAAAACAAAAGCCAUAAAGAACCUAAAAACUACGAAACUCUCUUUUUGAUUCACCUUUUCUCUUUUUUCCCUUUAUUUUUUUUCCAUGCCUACACACCGUUCUUUAAUUCUAGCACAUGCUUUCCCCAAAUCAGUCUGUAAAAUAACCCUGUUACCCUAAAAAAGGCAACAAUUAGCACGUAAGGGUGCUUUAAAGGAGAGUCAUCUACAAAGGACCAAGUGUGCCCCGCUAGGUCUCAAUAUGAUGCACAUAAGCAUGACCUAAAUGCUGACCUACGUUGGAGUUUACUAACAAGGCCAUUCGGAGGAGCAUAUGGUCGAUAGUGGCUGCUUUGCUUUUCACCUACUCCAUACAUCCAACGGCUCCCCUCCUAAAAUAAAGGUGACUCAACUAGAGUUCGUGCGCACGACGUGCACUCCGGGACUUGAUGCAGAAAGAAUUGACUCGGGUUAUGCACAUGAUGCCAGAUAUAAAGCGGUAAUACACAAGAGAAAAACUGUAAACACGUAGCACUCAACAAUGAUAAAAUAAACAACAAAUGAUAACACAAACAAUGUUUAUACACCUAUAAUGUCAAACUAAGCCCAUACAACUUUUAAAAUAAGCUCGAAUUCUGAAAAAUCCCCAGAAGAGUCGCCAGAGCUGUCACACCCCUUUUUAACCAAAAAGAUUAUGAAUUUUAAGGUUCGAAAAGGUUUUAUUAUUAAAGUGAAAAAAAAGGAAAAUUUAUUUUGAAAAGGACUUUUAUAUUCAAACUCAGAGUCGCCACUUGACAUAAAUCGAAUGUGCCAAGUCACCUUUGAAAAUUCUUUUUCAAAAUGAUUUUGACUCUAAAACUGAUCCACGAACAGAGAUUUCGACUAAGAAAUUCUGUUGACCGAGAGGAAGGUGUUAGGCACCCCUCGGUCUCGUGGUUCGACCACGGUCACUUGGUAGAGCGUAUCGGCUAAUUGGACAUUACGAAUGAAUAAACCACAUAAAAACACAUAAAACAAUCAAUCAAGCACACAAAAUAAAACAAAUCCAAAGUAUAGUGUCCAGUCCAAUUAUACAGUCCAAAAAUAGAAAAAAAAUGCGAAAAUAUAAAUCCUAUUCUAAGCUAAUCCUAAAACUACACUCCAAUGCCUUACCCGAUGCCUCGAGCCUUAAUCACGAACAUCCUCUGCCAACAUAAUACGUCGGGGCAUUCCUCGAUGAAUAAAUACAAAUGAACUCAGGACAUUCCCCGGCUAAACGAAUACAUUUAAUGAAAUGAGAUAAAAUGGAAAAAAUCACUCAACACAAAUAAUUACACAUUCGAUGAUUAGAAUCCUACGAGUUGCCUACCCCAAAACCUAGAAUUUGCCUAUCGUGACACUAUCAAAUGAAAAUAAAAUCCAAACUACAAUAUUACAAAAUAAAUCUAUGAAUUAUGGAUUUAACAAUUUCCAAUUCCCUAUUCCCCCUUUUGAAACCAUCAAUUCAUUAACUCAGAUACCAAAUCAAAUUAAACUUCCAUUCAGUGAUUAACAAAAUUUCAACACAAAGUAACAAUGACAUAAUAAUAAUUAAAUUGCUUCAAAUGAAAUCAAAGAAACAAACCACAAACAGAAUCAACCAACAACGAGGGAAACACAAUCAUCAUGCCAACAUUCAGAAAAAUUGAAUAAGAGAUUAAGAACCAAACCUUCCGGGUUGAAUUUUGAUUACAAAACCACAUAGAACGAUUGUCCGGGACCUCGGAACCUCGAACAAGCUCAAAUCAAACCUCGCACGAACUUCUCAUAUGCAACUCGAUUAAAACCCCAAACCAGAGGAGAAACCACAAAACGAGUUCCAAAUCUCCGAUUUUGAACCAAACUUGAACGGGUCUCGCCGGAAUUGGAGCCAAGCUCGUUAUUUUGGCUUUGCCAGAGCUCCGACGAGCUCAAACAGUGACAAAAAAAUGACGGAUUGGUCUAAUUUUGUAUCGAAUUUGAAGUGUUUUCACUGGUUUUGGCGUCUUUAGUGGUUUGACGGUGGUGGGGUGGUGUACUCCGUAUUGAUGGUGAGUGGGUGUUCGUUAAUGGCCUCUGUGUCGGUGGAAAAGGAAAGAAAUAUGUAAUGUAUGUAUCCUCUCUCUCACAGAUCUCUCUGUCUACCUCUCUCUUUAAUCAAACUCCAUUCUUUUUUUUACUGGUGUAUGUGCGUCGUUGUGUAUAUUUCCGGCCAGCUCUGUGUGGAUUUGUGUGUGAGUGAUGAGAAUUUCAGUGAAUGUGUAUAUGAGUCGAUGGUGGGUAUUGUGUGUGAUAUGUGUGAAAAUAGAGAAUGUUGUUUGUGUGCCUAUCGAGAGUGACGGGACCACCCUUCUUUUGUUUGUUGUCAAGGGAAAUAUAUCAGCUCCCCUCUAUUUUUGUUGUGAUUUAGUUAAAAGGAAUAAAAAAGAACGUGAGGGGGUAGGGGUGUGGGGUGUGAGUUGAUUGAGAUAAGGUUUGUUAGGAUUAAAAUAAGAUAAAAUUUGUUAAGGGUUGUUAUUUUUGUAUUUUU
rnacentral:lncRNA from 1 species